AUUGAACGCUGGCGGCAGGCCUAACACAUGCAAGUCGAACGGUAACAGGAAGAAGCUUGCUUCUUUGCUGACGAGUGGCGGACGGGUGAGUAAUGUCUGGGAAACUGCCUGAUGGAGGGGGAUAACUACUGGAAACGGUAGCUAAUACCGCAUAACGUCGCAAGACCAAAAAGGGGGACCUUCGUGCCUCUUGCCAUCGGAUUUGCCCAGAUGGGAUUAGCUAGUAGGUGGGGUAACGGCUCACCUAGGCGACGAUCCCUAGCUGGUCUGAGAGGAUGACCAGCCACACUGGAACUGAGACACGGUCCAGACUCCUACGGGAGGCAGCAGUGGGGAAUAUUGCACAAUGGGCGCAAGCCUGAUGCAGCCAUGCCGCGUGUAUGAAGAAGGCCUUCGGGUUGUAAAGUACUUUCAGCGGGGAGGAAGGGAGUAAAGUUAAUACCUUUGCUCAUUGACGUUACCCGCAGAAGAAGCACCGGCUAACUCCGUG
rnacentral:rRNA from 1 species